rnacentral:rRNA from 1 species
CUAGGAAUCUUGGGAAUGGGCGAAAGCCUGACCCAGCAACGCCGCGUGGGCGAUGAAGGCCUUCGGGUCGUAAAGCCCUUUUGCAGGGGACGAUAAUGACGGUACCUUGCGAAUAAGCCACGGCUAACUACGUGCCAGCAGCCGCGGUAAUACGUAGGUGGCAAGCGUUGUCCGGAUUUACUGGGCGUAAAGGGCGUGCAGGCGGUUUGCUAAGUCUAGGGUGAAAGCUCCCGGCUCAACUGGGAGAGGUCCUUGGAUACUGGCGAACUUGAGGGAUGCAGAGGAAAGUGGAGUUCCCGGUGUAGUGGUGAUAUGCGUAGAUAUCGGGAGGAACACCAGUGGCGAAGGCGGCUUUCUGGGCAUUUCCUGACGCUGAGACGCGAAAGCGUGGGGAGCGA